rnacentral:rRNA from 1 species
UACGUAGGGGGCAAGCGUUGUCCGGAUUUAUUGGGCGUAAAGAGCGUGUCGGCGGCUAGAUAGGUCCGUUGUGAAAACUCGAGGCUCAACCUCGAGACGCCGAUGGAAACCAUCCAGCUAGAGUCCGGAAGAGGAGAGUGGAAUUCCCGGUGUAGCGGUGAAAUGCGCAGAUAUCGGGAAGAACACCCGUGGCUAAGGCGGCUCUCUAGUACGGUACUGACGCUGAGACGCGAAAGCGUGGGGAGCGAACAGG